GACGAACGCUGGCGGCGUGCUUAAAACAUGCAAGUCGAACGAGGUCCAUGCAGUCGCAAGACUGCGGAAGACCGAGUGGCGAACGGGUGCGUAACACGUGAGGAACCUGCCCCAGAGACCGGGAUAACCCUCCGAAAGGAGGGCUAAUACCGGAUGUGCUCAUCGGAUCGCCUGGUCUGAUGAGGAAAUGGAUUCCGCUCUGGGAUGGCCUCGCGGCCUAUCAGCUGUUGGUGGGGUAACGGCUCACCAAGGCGACGACGGGUAGCUGGUCUGAGAGGACGAUCAGCCACACUGGGACUGAGACACGGCCCAGACUCCUACGGGAGGCAGCAGUGGGGAAUAUUGCACAAUGGGCGGAAGCCUGAUGCAGCGACGCCGCGUGA
rnacentral:rRNA from 1 species